GUCAAUUUGGCCGAGUGGUUAUGGCGUGUGACUCAAGUUCACCCAGGCGUGGGUUCGAAUCCCACAGUUGACA